rnacentral:rRNA from 1 species
AUGGAUGAAAUCUACGGUGAAACUCUGAAAAAAUUAACGGAGUUGCUAAUUUUAAGCCGGAUGAAAUCAAUUGGCGUUCAUUCGUUUUUUCUGUCCGUCAGAUCGCUGGGUUGCGAUUCGUGCUGUUUUUUUGAGCUUUGGAUUGUUUGGUUCUUGUUAUCAGGCCCGCAAUAUUUUUCAGGCCGAGAGCUCGGUGAGUCAGAGAGAGAGAGAGAGAGGGAGAGAGAGAGAGAGAGAGAGAGGUGGAGGGAGAGGGGGAGAGGGAGAGAGAGAGAGGGUCAUGGCAGUUUUGAUUUCGAGGUCUUCUUUCCCUGCUCGAUGGGAAGAGUUUAUUCUCUCCCCAUCGCUGCACCUCUCUCCCCAAUUUUGAUUUCGAGUUCUUCUCUGAUUACAUUUACAUGUGGUGCUUCCUGGUAUAGCCGUGGCAUAUUUCAGGCACUGAAAAAAAUAGCGCGCUAUAGCGUCGCUAAAAGCACGCUAUAG